GGUAAAAUGGCUGAUUUAAGGCAAUAAAUUGUAAAUUUAUUUAUGAGAUUUAUUUCUUUUUUACCA
rnacentral:tRNA from 1 species